UCUGGAAACUNUCUGACUUGAGUGCAGAAGGGGAGAGUGGAAUUCCAUGUGUAGCGGUGAAAUGCGUAGAUAUAUGGAGGAACACCAGUGGCGAAAGCGGCUNUCUGGUCUGUCACUGACGCUGAGGCUCGAAAGCGUGGGUAGCGAACAGGAUUAGAUACCNUGGUAGUCCACGCCGUAAACGAUGAGUGCUAGGUGUUAGGCCCUUUCCGGGGCUUAGUGCCGGAGCUAACGCAAUAAGCACUCCGCCUGGGGAGUACGACCGCAAGGUUGAAACUCAAAGGAAUUGACGGGGGCCCGCACAAGCGGUGGAGCAUGUGGUUUAAUUCGAAGCAACGCGAAGAACCUUACCAGGUCUUGACAUCCCGAUGCUAUUCUUAGAGAUAGGAAGUUACUUCGGUACAUCGGAGACAGGUGGUGCAUGGUUGUCGUCAGCUCGUGUCGUGAGAUGUUGGGUUAAGUCCCGCAACGAGCGCAACCCUUAUUGUUAGUUGCCAUCAUUAAGUUGGGCACUCUAGCGAGACUGCCGGUAAUAAACCGGAGGAAGGUGGGGAUGACGUCAAAUCAUCAUGCCCCUUAUGACCUGGGCUACACACGUGCUACAAUGGUCGGUACAACGAGUUGCGAGCCGGUGACGGCAAGCUAAUCUCUGAAAGCCGAUCUCAGUUCGGAUUGGAGGCUGCAACUCGCCUCCAUGAAGUCGGAAUCGCUAGUAAUCGCGGAUCAGCACGCCGCGGUGAAUACGUUCCCGGGCCUUGUACACACCGCCCGUCACACCACGAGAGUUUGUAACACCCGAAGUCGGUGAGGUAACCUUUUAGGG
rnacentral:rRNA from 1 species